rnacentral:rRNA from 1 species
GACGAACGCUGGCGGCGUGCUUAACACAUGCAAGUCGAACGGUGAAGCGCCUUCCUUUUUGGUGGGUGUGGAUGAGUGGCGAACGGGUGAGUAACACGUGAGUAACCUGCCCCCUUCUUCUGGAUAACCGCAUGAAAGUGUGGCUAAUACGGGAUAUUCUGGGUCUGUCGCAUGAUGGGUCUGGGAAAGAUAUUGUUUCGGUGGGGGAUGGGCUCGCGGCCUAUCAGCUUGUUGGUGGGGUGAUGGCCUACCAAGGCGGUGACGGGUAGCCGGCCUGAGAGGGGGGGACGGACAGCGUGGGACUGAGACAGGGCCCAGUCCCAUGGGGGGGGGAGGGGGGGGAUAGUUGGAAAAGGGGGGAGAGGCUGUGGGCGGCCGCGCCGGGUGGGGGAGGGGGGCUUUGGUGUGUGAACCUUUUUCCGAGGGGGAGGAGGGCCUGCCGGUUUGGUGGGUGGGUGGGGGGGGGUGGUAGAAAGAGCGCGGGUAAGCUGGUG